CAACCUAGCUUGCCAUAAGUGAAGGAAGAUUCUUUCCUUUUCUUUUAGUCAACAUGUCUUAAGUGAGGAGACCAUGAUCCUGUUUUCACUCCAUUGUCCCCCUUUAUUGUCCUUUUCCUCCAUUGUUGCCUUAUGCAAGGUACAAUGAACCUAGACUAGGUUGACCACUUUUUUCCAUCUAAACUCCCAAUAUCGUCCUCUCAUUGCUGGAUCACCCUCAUUUCCUCCCUAUUGUUUCUCUUUUUCUCUUUUGUUUAGCUCUCAACCUUCCCCUUUUUUCUUUUCUUUCACUUCUUCCUCUAGCCUUCUUAGUUGUGCAUCACCAAUAUUUCACCAUCGAACCACCACCCACCACCCAUCACCUCUCCCCUCUCUUUUUUUUCUCUCCAAGCGCCACCCCUUGCGCCGCCCUCCUCUACUAUGUCAACCACCGCACACCACCACUAAAUUCCUCCAUUUUUUUUCUUUUUUUUCUUUCUCUUCUCUUCUCCAUCAAGAAAGUGAUCGAAUCAUUGUUCAUACCUUCUCCUCCG
rnacentral:lncRNA from 1 species